UCACAGGGGUAUAUAGUCCUCUAGAGAAUUCACAAUAUCACAGGGGUAUAUAUUCCUCUAGAGAAUUCACAAUAUCACAGGGGUAUAUAUUCCUCUAGAGAAUUCACAAUAUCACAGGGGUAUAUAUUCCUCUAGAGAAUUCACAAUAUCACAGGGUAUAUAUUCCUCUAGAGAAUUCACAAUAUAACAGGGGUAUAUAUUCCUCUAGAGAAUUCACAAUAUCACAGGGGUAUAUAUUCCUCUAGAGAAUUCACAAUAUCACAGGGGUAUAUAUUCCUCUAGAGAAUUCACAAUAUCACAGGGUAUAUAUUCCUCCAGAGAAUUCACAAUAUCACAGGGUAUAUAUUCCUCUAGAGAAUUCACAAUAUCACAGGGUAUAUAUUCCUCUAGAGAAUUCACAAUAUCACAGGGGUAUAUAUUCCUCUAGAGAAUUCACAAUAUCACAGGGUAUAUAUUCCUCUAGAGAAUUCACAAUAUCACAGGGUAUAUAUUCCUCUAGAGAAUUCACAAUAUCACAGGGGUAUAUAUUCCUCUAGAGAAUUCACAAUAUCACAGGGGUAUAUAUUCCUCUAGAGAAUUCACAAUAUCACAGGGGUAUAUAUUCCUCUAGAGAAUUCACAAAGGCAUUUAUUUGAUCAUGGAAUUACAGUUUGUUUGUUAAAGAAAUUAAAUAGUGUUAAAUAUUAAAAUAUAUAGACAUAUUUAUCAUUACUAUAAAUUUGAUGUUAAAAAAUGUGUAUUUGUGAGUUAAUAUAAAUUAAAAUUUGUGUUAUCGUCCCUCAUGAAAUUAGAUAAAUAUUUGAAUAAAAAAAGGUUU